ACAAAACCCGGAAGGACCCCGCCGAAGGUUUUCUCCGGUUCGUGAGAGGGACGGAGUCCCGCUCUGUCACGCAGGCUGCCAGGCUGGCGUACAGUGGCGCAAUCUCAGCUCACUGCAACCUCCACCUCCUGGGUUCAAGCGAUUUUCUUGCCUCUGCCUCCUGAGUAGCUGGGAUUACUGGCACACACCACCAAUGCACAGUUCCUUGUUCAAAAUGCCAAGAACCUGGAUGACUCAUAGUCAAGACCCUCCACCAGUAACAUAUAUUGGCGAGCCAGCCAGGAGCUUGGAACCCUCGGUGGACAGUGCCUAAGCACAGAGGCAAACACAGGUUUCUAACAGGGCCACUCUCCGGUGAAACUGAAAGGUUUCUGUGUGAAAGUGCCUGACCACCACUGCCCAGUUCAGACCACUACAGGAAACACUCCAUUU
rnacentral:antisense_RNA from 1 species